rnacentral:rRNA from 1 species
UGUGGUAUGUGAAAAAAAAAACAACAAGGUUUCCGUAGGUGAACCUGCGGAAGGAUCAUUACAGUAUUCUUUUUGCCAGCGCUUAAUUGCGCGGCGAAAAAACCUUACACACAGUGUUUUUUGUUAUUACAAGAACUCUUGCUUUGGUCUGGACUAGAAAUAGUUUGGGCCAGAGGUUUACUAAACUAAACUUCAAUAUUUAUAUUGAAUUGUUAUUUAUUUUAAUUGUCAAUUUGUUGAUUAAAUUCAAAAAAUCUUCAAAACUUUCAACAACGGAUCUCUUGGUUCUCGCAUCGAUGAAGAACGCAGCGAAAUGCGAUAAGUAAUAUGAAUUGCAGAUUUUCGUGAAUCAUCGAAUCUUUGAACGCACAUUGCGCCCUUUGGUAUUCCAAAGGGCAUGCCUGUUUGAGCGUCAUUUCUCUCUCAAACCUUCGGGUUUGGUAUUGAGUGAUACUCUUAGUCGAACUAGGCGUUUGCUUGAAAUGUAUUGGCAUGAGUGGUACUGGAUAGUGCUAUAUGACUUUCAAUGUAUUAGGUUUAUCCAACUCGUUGAAUAGUUUAAUGGUAUAUUUCUCGGUAUUCUAGGCUCGGCCUUACAAUAUAACAAACAAGUUGACCUCAAAUCAGAAAAGUACCUAUUCCC